rnacentral:rRNA from 1 species
GAUGAACGCUGGCGGCAUGCCUAACACAUGCAAGUCGAGCGGAAAGACGCUGAGCUUGCUCCUCUGAGGGUAGCGGCGGGCGGGUGGGUAACACGUGCAUAACAGACCUAUAUGACUGGGAGAACUUCGUGAAAACGGCGCUAAUACUGGAUAAUAUAAAGCACCGCUGGGUUCAAUGGUGAAAGAGGGUUUUAGUGUCUCGUUUAGAUGGUUCGGGGCCGCCUAAGCGAGUUGGUAAGGCAAGACCUUACCAAGGCUACGACGCGUAGCGGACCUGAGAGGGUGGUCGGCCACACUGGAACUGAGACACGGCCCAGACUCCUACGGGAGGCAGCAGUAGGGAAUCUUCCGCAAUGGGCGAAAGCCUGAUGGAGCAACGCCGCGUGAGUGAUGAAGGUCUUCGGAUCGUAAAACUCUGUUGUUAGGCAAGAACAAAUGUGUAAUUAUAUGUGCAGGUUAUGACGGUACCUAAUCAAUAAGCCACGGCUAACUACGUG